UAGAAGCGAGGUAGAGUAACUGGUCCAAGUCACUUAGUCAGUGAGAGGCAGAACCAGCAAUUGAACUCAGGAUAUUAGGCCCAGAACCUCAGCUCCUGACCACUAGGCACAUCACCCCCGAUAGGAUUUGUCUUUGAGAUCUUAACUAGGAACAGCAAUCAUUCAGCAGCCAAAACUGUUUUGUUUUUGUUGUUUGCAAGAUCUCGGUACACCUUCUUAUCCUUCUUUGUUGUUCAAGUUAAAUAAGGGGCAGCUUUUCUCCUCGACGGAACUGAAAUGGGAAUUUGCUGGAGGAUUUGAGGGCACACACAAAUUCUGCAGCCUUGGGUUUGCGGAAGCCGAGGCAGUAAGGAGCGUUGGCCUCUGCCCUCAGGGGGGAGACAUCUGAGCCGGCAACCCAAGGCAUGCUUUGUGUAGGGGAGAAAAAUACCCACGAAGGAAGCUUCUCAGAGGGUGACCAGGUGCACAGUUCAGCCAAGAGCAAUGGACAGCUAGUAAGCAGCUGAAGCAGGAAGUAGCUAUGGAUCCACCUCCCCUUCCCAGGCACCAUUUUGGCUACAGCGUGGAGGG